AAUCAACGCUGGCGGCGUGCCUCAGACAUGCAAGUCGAACGAUUAAACUUUCCUUCGGGAAAGAUAUAAAGUGGCGCACGGGUGAGUAACACGUAAGUAAUCUACCCUCGAGUGGGGAAUAACGUUCGGAAACGGACGCUAAUACCGCAUAACGCAGCGGCACCGCAAGGUGACAGUUGUUAAAGGAGUAAUUCGCUUGAGGAGGAGCUUGCGGCAGAUUAGCUAGUUGGUAAGGUAACGGCUUACCAAGGCUACGAUCUGUAUCCGGUCUAAGAGGACGGUCGGACACACUGACACUGAAUAACGGGUCAGACUCCUACGGGAGGCAGCAGUCGGGAAUUUUGGGCAAUGGGCGAAAGCCUGACCCAGCAACGCCGCGUGAAGGAUGAAGUAUUUCGGUAUGUAAACUUCGAAAGAAUGGGAAGAAUAAAUGACGGUACCAUUUAUAAGCUCCGGCUAACUACGUGCCAGCAGCCGCCGUAAGAC
rnacentral:rRNA from 1 species